AAUGCUCCACCACCGCAGCUGCGGACGAUGCUUCCCGAGCGCGGACGGCAAAGAGGAUGCAGCUCCGCUUCCUCCCGUUCGCCGCGAGCGCCGUGGCCGGAAGGAGCUUCCUCGCCGCUAUUCCUCGGCCAGUGACGGAGAGAAGGACGCACCUACGCUGCAACGCGGGCAACUCCUCGUCGUCGUCGGAGGACGAGGGCGGCGAGCUUAGCGCGGCAGAAGAGGCGCUGCGGCGGCUGGCGGAGCUCGACGCCCAGCUGGAGGGGCUGAAGGAGCCUAAGAUGAGGCCGCCGCCGCCCCCUCCUCCCCCGGAUCCUUUCAUGGACCGCGAUAUGAUAAUACAGCGAGGGCGCCCAAGUGAUGAGCUCCCAGAAAUGACCCCGGCCUACGUGACGUUCUCGACUCUGGCAAUUUUCAUCCUGACCAUCUUCACCAACGUGGUGUUCAACGUGUACAUCAAGCCUUCCGUGGACGGCGCCGAUCGGCCGGUAAGAAUCCAGAGAGUGCCUCUGGCUGAUCCUAGCUUCCAGCAGCCCGGCAAUUCUAGUGGUAGCUCGUAGACAUAUAUGCACGACACGAUAAUACAGUUUGAUAGAUACAGCGGGGAAGGGCUGUGCUUUGCAAGUUAACUCAAGUCAUGUGCCUCAUAUUUGCAUCAUGAUGAUGUGUUUAACACAAUAACACCCACAUGCUCUAAACGAGCUAUGUUUUGCUGGCCUCCACAUUGAGGGUUUCAUUAUGGAACAAGGUGCUGCACAUGUGUCCAUGGGGCUUCACCUGCACAAUGAUCUCCUGGAUCGAAUACAUCAGACCCAACUUGUGAACCAGUUAAUUGUAUCAGUGGUGACGCUAGACAUGGAGAGCAAAUUGCCUCUUCUCUCGCACUAAUCAGCCAAUGGCGAGGCAAAUUGUUUGCAGCAACAUGCAUAUGUUGAUGCCAAAAUUCCAAAAACGCCGACAUGGAUGAGCUGUGGACAAUGGUCGUGCGGCACGCGACAGAGGCGGAGCGGCAGGGUACGUAGCGUACGCCCGUGGUAGCGGUCCCGGGCUCUGCGAUCUUCUACUGUGUCGCUACUGGUUUUUUCUUGCAGCUGUCUACAAAUUCAUAUGGAGUACUGUACUGUAUUUC